rnacentral:rRNA from 1 species
UACGGAAGGGGCAAGCGUUGUUCGGAAUCACUGGGCGUAAAGCGCACGUAGGCGGACUCUUAAGUCGGUGGUGAAAUCCUGGAGCUCAACUCCAGAACUGCCUUCGAUACUGGGAGUCUUGAGUCCGGGAGAGGUGAGUGGAACUGCGAGUGUAGAGGUGAAAUUCGUAGAUAUUCGCAAGAACACCAGUGGCGAAGGCGGCUCACUGGCCCGGUACUGACGCUGAGGUGCGAAAGCGUGGGGAGCAAACAGGG